rnacentral:sRNA from 1 species
ACUAAUUUAAAACAACAACGAUCGAAGUUAUUAUUAUUUUUUAUACUUUUAUUGCAUGAUUGCCGCCGAAAAUCAAGAUGUUGUGUUUCUCACAUACUGUUCGGAUCUGGUGAAGAUGGUGUCUUUCCCAACCGAAUGGCCGGUCUUCUCAGUGUAUUUGGAGGAAUUGCAGAGUGACAAGAAAGAAUUUUCAAAUUUUUCUUUAUCUUUAAUUUCUCAUAGUGCAAAUGUCAAAGCGGAUAAUUUGGCGCGUAAAGUUCGUGUCUAACCGCAUCAUAUCACUUAUGUAAACAUCAUUCCUCAGGAAUGAAUAUUUUGAGCUCUAAUUAAUUUUGGAUGACAAAA